rnacentral:rRNA from 1 species
CUGUGUGUUGUUGGGUAGGGGAGCGUUCUGUAAGCCUGCGAAGGUGGCCUGUGAGGGUUGCUGGAGGUAUCAGAAGUGCGAAUGCUGACAUAAGUAACGAUAAAGCGGGUGAAAAGCCCGCUCGCCGGAAGACCAAGGGUUCCUGUCCAACGUUAAUCGGGGCAGGGUGAGUCGACCCCUAAGGCGAGGCCGAAAGGCGUAGUCGAUGGGAAACGGGUUAAUAUUCCCGUACUUGGUGUUACUGCGAAGGGGGGACGGAGAAGGCUAUGUUGGCCGGGCGACGGUUGUCCCGGUUUAAGCGUGUAGGUGUGUGUUCCAGGUAAAUCCGGUUCACUUUAACACUGAGGCGUGACGACGAGGCACUACGGUGCUGAAGCAACAAAUGCCCUGCUUCCAGGAAAAGCCUCUAAGCAUCAGGUAACAUCAAAUCGUACCCCAAACCGACACAGGUGGUCAGGUAGAGAAUACCAAGGCGCUUGAGAGAACUCGGGUGAAGGAACUAGGCAAAAUGGUGCCGUAACUUCGGGAGAAGGCACGCUGACACGUAGGUGAAGUGAUUUACUCAUGGAGCUGAAGUCAGUCGAAGAUACCAGCUGGCUGCAACUGUUUAUUAAAAACACAGCACUGUGCAAACACGAAAGUGGACGUAUACGGUGUGACGCCUGCCCGGUGCCGGAAGGUUAAUUGAUGGGGUCAGCGCAAGCGAAGCUCCUGAUCGAAGCCCCGGUAAACGGCGGCCGUAACUAUAACGGUCCUAAGGUAGCGAAAUUCCUUGUCGGGUAAGUUCCGACCUGCACGAAUGGCGUAAUGAUGGCCAGGCUGUCUCCACCCGAGACUCAGUGAAAUUGAACUCGCUGUGAAGAUGCAGUGUACCCGCGGCAAGACGGAAAGACCCCGUGAACCUUUACUAUAGCUUGACACUGAACAUUGAGCCUUGAUGUGUAGGAUAGGUGGGAGGCUUUGAAGUGUGGACGCCAGUCUGCAUGGAGCCGACCUUGAAAUACCACCCUUUAAUGUUUGAUGUUCUAACGUGGACCCGUUACCCGGGUUGCGGACAGUGUCUGGUGGGUAGUUUGACUGGGGCGGUCUCCUCCUAAAGAGUAACGGAGGAGCACGAAGGUUGGCUAAUCCUGGUCGGACAUCAGGAGGUUAGUGCAAUGGCAUAAGCCAGCUUGACUGCGAGCGUGACGGCGCGAGCAGGUGCGAAAGCAGGUCAUAGUGAUCCGGUGGUUCUGAAUGGAAGGGCCAUCGCUCAACGGAUAAAAGGUACUCCGGGGAUAACAGGCUGAUACCGCCCAAGAGUUCAUAUCGACGGCGGUGUUUGGCACCUCGAUGUCGGCUCAUCACAUCCUGGGGCUGAAGUAGGUCCCAAGGGUAUGGCUGUUCGCCAUUUAAAGUGGUACGCGAGCUGGGUUUAGAACGUCGUGAGACAGUUCGGUCCCUAUCUGCCGUGGGCGCUGGAGAACUGAGGGGGGCUGCUCCUAGUACGAGAGGACCGGAGUGGACGCAUCACUGGUGUUCGGGUUGUCAUGCCAAUGGCACUGCCCGGUAGCUAAAUGCGGAAGAGAUAAGUGCUGAAAGCAUCUAAGCACGAAACUUGCCCCGAGAUGAGUUCUCC